rnacentral:tRNA from 1 species
GCCUGGGUGGCUCAGUCGGUUAAGUGUCCGACUUCGGCUCAGAUCAUGAUCUUGUGGUUCGUGGGUUCAAGCCCCGCAUCGGGCU